CAAUUAGCGAUCACGUUUUUCCUGGUCAGGGGCCUUGCCAAAUGGGAAAACCCAUAUAAAGGCUAAAAAAAUUGUUUCCACAAAUGAUCAGAACAUCAUGAAGCUACUACCAAUUUUAAUCGGCCUGAUAGCCUUAGUCUGCAUCUCAAGACCUGCCACAGCAGAACCGGGACGUGGUAAUUCUCGUAUGGGAAAACGUAGGGGCUGAAGAUGGAUGGAAGGGGUCAAUAUUUUAAAUAACCAUGAAACUCAUAAAAUAUAAUAAUUAACAUCAGAACUUAUAAAUAAUUUUAAAAAUAA